CGCAUCUGUGCAUGCAGCAUAUCAAUAAGCGGAGGAAAAGAAACUAACAAGGAUUCCCCUAGUAACGGCGAGUGAAGCGGGAAGAGCUCAAAUUUGAAAUCUUAAAGGGUUUCCCUUUACGAAUUGUAGUUUAAAGAAGUGUUUUCUGUUGAGGUUUUGGUAAAAGUUCUUUGGAAUAGGACAUCAUAGAGGGUGAGAAUCCCGUAUUUGACCUUUACUUUCAACUUUGUGAUACACUUUCAAAGAGUCGGAUUGUUUGGGAAUGCAGUCCAAAAUGGGUGGUAAAUUUCAUCUAAAGCUAAAUAUUGGCGAGAGACCGAUAGCGAACAAGUACCGUGAGGGAAAGAUGAAAAGAACUUUGAAAAGAGAGUUAAACAGUACGUGAAAUUGUCAAAAGGGAAGCGUUUGACACCAGUGUUGUUUUUCUGAAAAUCAAUUAAAGAACUGUUUAUGCUAAGUUGUUUAGACUUUAUCAGCUAACUGUUUAGUUUUGAGCUUUUCUUUAAUGCACUUUUCAGUUAACAAGUCAACAUCAAUUUCUUUUGCUGUAAAAAAGCUUGAGGAAGGUGGCUUGAGAUUCGUCUUAAGUGUUUAUAGCCUCUUGCCUAUGCAGUCGGAGAGAUUGAGGUCUGCAGCGUAGAUCCUUCGGGGCUAAAUGCAUUUGUGCUAAGUUAUAGCAUUUUAUAGACAACUUGUUGACUAUGAUUUGUCUUGUAGCUUACUCGCUUAUGUUAUUUUACCUACGCUUAGGAUGUUGACACACGCGCGUGCUCG
rnacentral:rRNA from 1 species